GAUGAAGAACGCAGCGAAAUGCGAUAAGUAAUGUGAAUUGCAGAAUUCAGUGAAUCAUCGAAUCUUUGAACGCACAUUGCGCCCCCUGGUAUUCCGGGGGGCAUGCCUGUUCGAGCGUCAUUUCACCACUCAAGCGUCGCUUGGUAUUGGGCAACGCGGUCCGCCGCGUGCCUCAAAUCGACCGGCUGGGUCUUCUGUCCCCUAAGCGUUGUGGAAACUAUUCGCUAAAGGGUGUUCGGGAGGCUACGCCGUAAAACAACCCCAUUUCUAAGGUUGACCUCGGAUCAGGUAGGGAUACCCGCUGAACUUAAGCAUAUCAAUAAGCGGAGGA
rnacentral:misc_RNA from 1 species